rnacentral:rRNA from 1 species
CCCGCUGAACUUAAGCAUAUCAAUAAGCGGAGGAAAAGAAACCAACAGGGAUUGCCUCAGUAACGGCGAGUGAAGCGGCAACAGCUCAAAUUUGAAAUCUGGCUCCUCUGGGGCCCGAAUUGUAAUUUGUAGAGGAUGCCUUCGGGUUUGGCCCCGGCCUAAGUUCCUUGGAACAGGACGUCACAGAGGGUGAGAAUCCCGUAUGUGGCUGGAGGUCUAUACCCAUGUGAAGCUCCUUCGACGAGUCGAGUUGUUUGGGAAUGCAGCUCAAAAUGGGUGGUAAGUUUCAUCUAAAGCUAAAUACUGGCGGGAGACCGAUAGCGCACAAGUAGAGUGAUCGAAAGAUGAAAAGCACUUUGGAAAGAGAGUUAAAAAGUACGUGAAAUUGUUGAAAGGGAAGCGCUUGCAAUCAGACUUGCCCUUAGUUGAUCAACCGGUGUUCUUCACCAGUGCACUCGGCUAGGGUCAGGCCAGCAUCGGUUUAGGCGGUUGGAGAAAGACUAUAGGAAUGUAGCUCCCUCUGGGGAGUGUUAUAGCCUGUGGUGUCAUGCAACCAGUUUAGACCGAGGACCGCGCCUUUUGGCUAGGAUGCUGGCGUAAUGGUUGUAAGCGACCCGUCUUGAAACACGG